GCGGAAGUGGUGGAACUGGUAGACACGUACGUUUGAGGGGCGUAUGGAGCAAUCCGUGAGGGUUCGAGUCCCUCCUUUCGCA
rnacentral:tRNA from 1 species